UACGUAGGGUGCAAGCGUUAAUCGGAAUUACUGGGCGUAAAGCGUGCGCAGGCGGCUAUGCAAGACAGAUGUGAAAUCCCCGGGCUCAACCUGGGAACUGCAUUUGUGACUGCAUAGCUAGAGUACGGUAGAGGGGGAUGGAAUUCCGCGUGUAGCAGUGAAAUGCGUAGAUAUGCGGAGGAACACCGAUGGCGAAGGCAAUCCCCUGGACCUGUACU
rnacentral:rRNA from 1 species